GAUGAGGUAGAAGCAGAAUCUGAUAAAAUUAUCAAAUUGCUAAACGCAAAUAAUGAGCCAGAGGAAGAAGUUCUUAGUGAGUAGAGAGAAAGUUUUUCUUUUCGAGAGAAGUGUAAAAGCAUCACAGAUUACUUUUUAACUUACAAAUGCUUGAAUUCGCCAUUUGGCCAUAUUUUAUUGUCUAACGAUUUUGAUAGAAUAUACCCAGAAUCUACUAAUUCACUCAAAGAAAAUUGGGAUAAGGUGGCGCCUUUUAUUGUGGAUUACGCCAGGGAGAACAAAAAUUAUUUUCUUCUGAUGAUUCCGUAAUUCUUGCCGACAAAAAGUCUGUUUUGGCAUUCUUGUGCUAGGCAAGAAUCUUAGGUACAAUUGUCAAAAAACGAGAUACAGCGUUCUUGGCAGAUGAUCUAUUAAGUUCUGAUAUUGUCAACUUUAAGGUAAUCUCUAAACCUUUUUAUUGAGUUUUAAAACUACUUUUCAAUUUGUUAAACGUAUUUAUUAUUAAUAGACA